rnacentral:rRNA from 1 species
GACGAACGCUGGCGGCGUGCUUAACACAUACAAGUCGAACGGAAAGGCCCCUUCGGGGGUACUCGAGUGGCGAACGGGUGAGUAACACGUGAGUAACCUGCCCUUGACUUCGGGAUAACUUCAGGAAACUGGGGCUAAUACCGGAUAGGAAUCCUUGCUGCAUGGUGGGGGUUGGAAAGCUUCGGCGGUUUUGGAUGGACUCGCGGCUUAUCAGCUUGUUGGUGGGGUAGUGGCUUACCAAGGCUUUGACGGGUAGCCGGCCUGAGAGGGCGACCGGCCACAUUGGGACUGAGAUACGGCCCAGACUCCUACGGGAGGCAGCAGUGGGGAAGAUUGCACAAUGGGCGGAAGCCUGAUGCAGCAACGCCGCGUGCGGGAUGACGGCCUUCGGGUUGUAAACCGCGUUCAGCAGGGGCGAAGCUUGUGGUGACGGUACCUGCAGAAGAAGCACCGGCUAACUACGUG